AGUGAAUGCUUGCGACAUACAUAACACAUGCAAGUUGAACGAAUCUAUUUUGGUUUAGUAGCGUACGGGUGAGUAAUGCAGAAGAAUUUUGGUGUGAGUUUGGGAUAGUAAUUUUUGUUUGAAUACCAGAUAUUAUGAAAGAUUGAUCGCUUAUAUGGGAGCUUCUGUAAGAUUAGGUUGUUGGUGGGGUAAAUGCCUACCAAGCCAUAGAUCUUUAGCCGGUUGAGAGAAUGGUCGGCCACAUUGGGAAUGGAAAAGGCCCAGACUCCUUCGGGAGGCAGCAGUGGGGAAUAUUGGACAAUGGGCGAAAGCCUGAUCCAGUAAUGUCGUGUGAGUGAGGAAGGAAAAU
rnacentral:rRNA from 1 species